AGUGGCUGGUGUGCUCGAUCCACUCAUCCAAAAUACGUUGCGCGGCUGGCGUUGGCGGCUGCAGUUGGAGGUUGGUGCGGCGAGCGGCUUCCGUCCGGCCCUCGCCUGCUGAUCCGCUCCCUCCCUGGUCGGCUGUGUCACCACAUCUGGGAUUCUUCCGGAGUUGCAGCGCUUGGACGCUCCUGCUGUCUUGUCUGUCUUGCCGGUUUUGUUUGGGCCGCUCUCGGCGGAGCCUGCUGACGCUUGGGC